AGGUAACUUCAGGGUCAAACCCUCAGGGGCCAAAUUGGCAGUGCCCCGAUAUCUAUAUCUUUUCAUAACAUAUAAACCUACAUCUGUGCCAAAUUUGUUGCUUUUAUAGCACAAUGCAGAAUUGUUAUGCUGAACUGCCCCGCUAAUAAGACAGUCCAAAACUACUAGUAAACAUGAGCAACUCUCUUCCAAAUCCAAAAACUAGAGCGCUAAAACUCCAACUGGUGAUGUCAUAGGGUAUAAAGUGAUGUCAUAGGGUAAAAGAGUGGAGCUGCUCCAUAGACAAUGAAAGGGAGAGCUGUUGUAGAUGACUCAGAGAGCAUCCAGAGGAAUGUUCUGAGGAUAUGGGAACAUUUCCUGUUUCACAACUGAGAACUCUACAAUAGAAUAAAGAGAAAGAAACCAACAUCCUGUGGGUCCAUUCACUGACUCUGGAGCAGCUCCACGCUUUAUACCUGAUGACCUAUUUACCUUUUCAUGUAAAAUACAAAGUGAUGUUCCACAUGCAGUGGACCUGAUGAUCGGCAUCAGUACAAGUUACAAGUUCUGCCUUUGUGUAGUGGACUAUAAAUUCUGCUGUUCAGAUCUACUUGAUGACAUGCUCAUCUUUGGGGCUGUUGUUAGAGAAAUCUUUGUUGUUAGAAAUUCACUAAUUGUCUAAAAGCAGUUGCUUUCUUUGUAUUAGUGAUCACCAUGUUUCCCUCUCUAAUCUGGAGACUUUGCAUACCUUACCGCUAAACCCCAUUAAAACUCCAUGCAUGUUGGUGUGGAGGUGUAUGCGUGA